rnacentral:rRNA from 1 species
AACGAACGCUGGCGGCAUGCUUAACACAUGCAAGUCGAACGAGUUGCGGACGGGUGAGUAACAUUUAGGAAACUGCCUAGUAGUGGGGGAUAGCGCGGGGGAACUCGAAUUAAUACCGCAUACUAUUAGAUGAGCCUAAAUCAGAUUAGCAAGUUGGUGGGGUAAAGGCCCACCAGGGCGACGCGCUGUAACAGGUCUGAGAGGAUGAUCAGUCACACCGGAACGGAGAAACGGUCCGGACUCCUCCGGGAGGACGCAGUGGGGAAUAUUGGAAAAUGGGGGCAACCUGAUCCAGCCAUGCGGGGGGUGUGAAGAAGGCCUUUGGGUUGUAAAGCACUGUAAGCAGGGAGGCGUUACCCGAAGAGGAAGCACCGGCUAACUCCGUGCCAGCAGCCGCGGUAAUUC